CCUCCCUCAGCUCUACAGGAUCACACAGCCGAGUGUGUGCUUGGUAUGGUUUUUCAUGGAAGGAGGGGAAGGCCCUCUUCAUGCAUGGCAGACCUGCAAGAGGAGAUUCUCUGUUCCUAGGAGUCUGACAGUU